ACAAAUGAUCUAAAUAUCUCAGGGCCUUGCAUAAGACCUAGUGAACAAUUUUUGGAGACCCUAUUCUCAGGAAUAGGGUG
rnacentral:snRNA from 13 species